rnacentral:rRNA from 1 species
ACGGCGAGUGAAGCGGCAACAGCUCAAAUUUGAAAUCUGGCUCCUUUGGGGUCCGAGUUGUAAUUUGCAGAGGGAGCUUUUGGCGUCGGUCGUGGUCUAAGUUCCUUGGAACAGGACGUCACAGAGGGUGAGAAUCCCGUACGUGGCCGCCGGCCUUCGCCUUGUAAAGCCCCUUCGACGAGUCGAGUUGUUUGGGAAUGCAGCUCUAAAUGGGAGGUAAAUUUCUUCUAAAGCUAAAUACCCGCCAGAGACCGAUAGCGCACAAGUAGAGUGAUCGAAAGAUGAAAAGCACUUUGGAAAGAGAGUGAAAAAGCACGUGAAAUUGUUGAAAGGGAAGCGCUUGCGGCCAGACGUGCCCGCGGUUGAUCAUCCAGGCUCCAGCCUGGUGCACUCCUCCGCGGGCAGGCCAGCAUCAGUUCGGGCGGUCGGAUAAAGGCCUCUAUCACGUACCACCCCUCGGGGUGGCCUUAUAGGGGAGGCGCAACACGGCCAGCCCGGACUGAGGUUCCGCGCAUCUGCUAGGAUGCUGGCGUAAUGGCAGCAAGCGGCCCGUCUUGAAACACGGACCAAGGAGUCUAACAUCUAUGCGAGUGUUUGGGUGUCAAGCCCGAGCGCGCAAUGAAAGUGAACGGAGGUGGGAACCCUUACCGGUGCACCAUCGACCGAUCCUGAUGUCUUCGGAUGGAUUUGAGUAAGAGCAUAGCUGUUGGGACCCGAAAGAUGGUGAACUAUGCCUGAAUAGGGUGAAGCCAGAGGAAACUCUGGUGGAGGCUCGCAGCGGUUCUGACGUGCAAAUCGAUCGUCAAAUUUGGGCAUAGGGGCGAAAGACUAAUCGAACCAUCUAGUAGCU